rnacentral:rRNA from 1 species
AGGACGAACGCUGGCGGCGUGCUUAACACAUGCAAGUCGAGCGGAAAGGCCCUUCGGGGUACUCGAGCGGCGAACGGGUGAGUAACACGUGAGCAACCUGCCCCUGGCUCUGGGAUAGCCUCCGGAAACGGGGAUUAAUACCGGACAUGACCUGCUGCCGCAUGGUGGCGGGUGGAAAGUUUUUCGGCCAGGGUGGGCUCGCGGCCUAUCAGCUUGUUGGGGGGUGACGGCUCACCAAGGCGACGACGGGUA